rnacentral:rRNA from 1 species
GAUGAACGCUGGCGGCGUGCCUAAUACAUGCAAGUCGAGCGAACAGACGAGGAUCUUGCUCCUCUGACGUUAGCGGCGGACGGGUGAGUAACACGUGGAUAACCUACCUAUAAGACUGGGAUAACUUCGGGAAACCGGAGCUAAUACCGGAUAAUAUAUUGAACCGCAUGGUUCAAUAGUGAAAGACGGUUUUGCUGUCACUUAUAGAUGGAUCCGCGCCGCAUUAGCUAGUUGGUAAGGUAACGGCUUACCAAGGCAACGAUGCGUAGCCGACCUGAGAGGGUGAUCGGCCACACUGGAACUGAGACACGGUCCAGACUCCUACGGGAGGCAGCAGUAGGGAAUCUUCCGCAAAGGGCGAAAGCUUGACGGAGCAACGCCGCGUGAGUGAUGAAGGUCUUCGGAUCGUAAAACUCUGUUAUUAGGGAAGAACAAAUGUGUAAGUAACUAUGCACGUCUUGACGGUACCUAAUCAGAAAGCCACGGCUAACUACGUG